rnacentral:rRNA from 1 species
GAUGAACGCUGGCGGCGUGCCCAAUACAUGCAAGUCGAGCGAACAGAUGAGAAGCUUGCUUCUCUGAUGUUAGCGGCGGACGGGUGAGUAACACGUGGGUAACCUACCUAUAAGACUGGGAUAACUCCGGGAAACCGGGGCUAAUACCGGAUAAUAUUUUGAACCGCAUGGUUCAAUAGUGAAAGACGGUUUCGGCUGUCACUUAUAGAUGGACCCGCGCCGUAUUAGCUAGUUGGUAAGGUAACGGCUUACCAAGGCGACGAUACGUAGCCGACCUGAGAGGGUGAUCGGCCACACUGGAACCGAGACACGGUCCAGACUCCUACGGGAGGCAGCAGUAGGGAAUCUUCCGCAAUGGGCGAAAGCCUGACGGAGCAACGCCGCGUGAGUGAUGAAGGUCUUCGGAUCGUAAAACUCUGUUGUUAGGGAAGAACAAAUUUGUUAGUAACUGAACAAGUCUUGACGGUACCUAACCAGAAAGCCACGGCUAACUACGUGCCAGCAGCCGCCGUAA